UACGAAGGGGGCUAGCGUUGCUCGGAAUUACUGGGCGUAAAGGGCGCGUAGGCGGAUAGUUUAGUCAGAGGUGAAAGCCCAGGGCUCAACCUUGGAAUUGCCUUUGAUACUGGCUAUCUUGAGUUCGGGAGAGGUGAGUGGAAUGCCGAGUGUAGAGGUGAAAUUCGUAGAUAUCGGGAGGAACACCUGUGGCGAAAGCGGCUCACUGGACCACAACUGACGCUGAGGCGCGAAAGCUAGGGGAGCAAACAGG
rnacentral:rRNA from 1 species